rnacentral:lncRNA from 1 species
UAUCCGCUGAUGGACUCCGUUCAGCUGGUAAAGAGGACUGACCGGAGAGGCUUCAUGAAACCAAGAGUCUUUCACUUUCUCUACGAUGUUUUCACACGUUGAAUACUAAGUCUCUAGUAUUAUUCUGGGAAGAGGAUUUCAGUGUUGUGUAUGCGGAUAUGAUUAUGAUUAUCAGGUGUAUUGAGUUUCGAGAAGACAGCUUCUAGAGACUUGAGGUCAGACUUCUGCAAGAGAGAAGACCCUGCUUGGCUGCAGCUGCUGAAGCAAGAGCCCAGACCGGUCAAGGAUGCAGAUGCUGCUGCUUUGGAUCAGAUUGAGAAGCCCCGGGGGCUGUUGGGCAUGGAGAUGGAUGGCAUCCGCAUUUUGGUAUUCUGCAGUCUCUCGUAUCAGAGGAGGAGAGCUGUGGUUUUUUUCUUUUCUUUUCUUUUUUUCUGUUUGCUUGUUUUUUGGUUUUUUGGUUUUUGCUUUUUUGUUUUUUCAGAAAUGUAAUUUUCUGUGGCAUGUUAACUGGUGCACAUCAUGUAACCUGUCUGGUGAGGAUGCAGGGGCUGCAAAACCCCCAGGAACUCGCUCUGGAGGAGGAGCUGGCUCUGUGACUCUGGGCCACCAGAAGAUGAUGGUUUUGCACUCUCUUCUCUGAGCUUCCUUGGGGCUUGACGUUCCAGUUGUCUCCAGUUCAUGUCAAGUAAACCACUCAGCCAGUGGACAAUUUCAGUGCUGGCCCUCGAGGCAGAGCUUUGAAGACAGGUGUGUCCGGCCUCUUCCUAGGCUUUGGGAAUUUAAGGAGAGGCCCAGCUACCCUGGGACUUUCAC